rnacentral:lncRNA from 1 species
UGUCUUCACAAUAGUGAGCUCUCAUGAUAUUUGGUCAUUUAAAAGUGUGUAGCACUUCCCCCUUCACGUUCUCUUGCUCCUGCUCUGGCCAUGUGACAUGCCUAUUCCCUCUUCACCUUCUGGCAUGACUGUUAAGUUUCCUGUGGCCUCCCUGGAAGCUGAGCAGAUUCCAUCAUCAUGCUUCCUGUACAGUCUGCAGAACCAUGAGCCAAUUAAGCCUCUUUUCUUUAUAAAUUACCCAGUCUGAGGUACUUCUUUAUAGCACUGCAAGAAUGGACUAAUACGCUAUGUGAAGACAAAGGGGAUGUCUGCAAGCCAGGACGAGUGCGUCUACCAGAAACUGAGUUCUGCUGGACUUUGAUCUAGGACAUCCAGCCUCCAGAAUGGAAUGUGCCAUAUGUGGAGACCUGCAUGGAAAGGAACUGAGGAUGCUCUCUCACUAAAAGCUAGAAGGAACUGAGGCCCUCAGUCAACAGUCUACAAGACACUGAAUCUUGCCAGCAGCCAAGCAGUGAGCUUGAAAGCAGAUCUAUCAUCAGCUGAACCUUCAGAUGAGACCGCAGCCUAAGCAGAUACCUUGGUUGCAGCCAUGUGAGACAACCUGAAACAGAGGGCACAGCUAAGCCUCAGCCAGGUUCAUGACCCUCUGAGGAAACUGUGAGAAAGCAAAUGUCAUUUUAAGCUAUUUAAUUUUGGAGGUAGUUUAUUACACAACAAUAAAUAACUAUUAUAAUUAUCUUGAGGAUUUAUUUCCUGGGGAGAAUACAUGGAAUUGCAUAUAUAGGUCCUCAUAUGCAGAAUACUGGUACCCUAGAGAUGUUCACCCCAGAGAUGUUUUAGGAACCUGUGAAUAUGUUACAUUAAAUGGCAAAGUUUUCCUGGAUGGUUUAAGUUUAAGAUGGAAAAGUUUUACUGGAUUAUCCAGUGGGUCCAAUCUAGUAACAUGAGUCCUUAAAAAUGGAGAAUAUUUUUUGGCCAUGAUCAGAGAGACAUGUGAUGAUGGAAAAAGUGUCAGAGAUGCAAUGUGAGGGGACUAAAACUGCUGUUGCUGACUUUAAAGAUGGAGAGAGGGGAACCCGAGUCAAGGAAUGCAAAUGGCCUCUGGAAGCUGGAAAAAGCAAGAAAUGGAUUCUCCUUUAGAGCCUGUGGAAUAAAAUGCAGUCAUGCUGACACCUUGAUUUUACCUCAGUGAGACCAAUACUGGAGUAUGACCUUCGGAGCUGAAUAAAAUUAUACGUACACAUCUUAAUUUCUUGGGAUUUGAUUACUUCUUCUGCUUUGAAAUUAGACCAAGUUUAGCCUGCCUUUGCUAUUUUGGCGUAUCUCCAAUUCUUCAUGAUUUUCUCAUUGUUGCCUCCAUAUGAUGCAAAAUAUCCAACCUAGCCCUGACAUGAAAACUUAAUUGAAAGUAUCCAACAGUGGCGCAAAGGCCACAUAAGGACAGUGAGAAGGCAGCCACCUGCAAGCCAGGAAGAAAGGUCUCACCAGAUACCAACCCUGCCAGCAUGUUGAUCUUGGACUUCCAGCCUCCAAAACUGGCCUUCUGCUCACAUGGGCUUCCGUGCACCUGCUUCAGGAGACAGCAACACUUGCGCCCGCACCGCGGCAGGCUCCCAUCACCUGGUGGAUAUGCCGCGCCGAGUCUCAUCACACCUUAGUGAAGGAACACAUGGACCCAUAUGUUAGCGGAUGUAUUUACAUCGUUUUAUACAGAAAGGGGAAGCAAAGAGUUCUAAGAUGCAUUUCACAGCACUCCACAGAAGGAAGGUUCAGAGCCAAUCAUCUGCACCAGUGCCCAACUUAAAAACAUCCUUGUAUCAGUUUUCCCUUAUUUCCUGUUCUCCUCCCUAAACCUUCAGUCCUGUUCCUGGCAAUCACUUCCAGAAUAAACCAUAUACAUGCCUCAGAUUCUGAUCUCAGAGGAUCCCAGACUAAUACAGAGAUACACUAUGCUGAUUGCUUAACCCGCAUUUUCUCAUUUAAUUGAAACAUAUACGUGGUAAGGUAUUUAUUCAUACCUGCAUGAUUUUGUAGAUAAACCUUAGAGAAAUUAAUACUUUUCAGAAGGCAAUUAAAGUAACACAGCAAGCAAUUGAUAAAACCUGGAUUCGCCAAGUUAAACUGGUCUGGUUUCAAAACCUGUAUUGUUUCCUAACAUACCACCUAAAUUCUCAAAUGGUAUUGGAAGGGGUUAAAUGAGAUUAUAAAUGUAAAAUUCUUGGUAUAGUUAAUUCUCAAAAAUAGGCCUUCAAUCUAUAGAAUCCAUUUGUAGAACUAUCUUCAGGAAGGAAAAAUACAUCACCCUCCACCCCACCCUCAAAGAAACAUGGAAAAUUUAAACUAAGACUUCAAAUCUUGAGCUCUGCACAUCUUAGAAUAUUUUGUUUCUAUGAAAAAGAAGCUUUGGAGAAUGUGUAUCAGUCUGAAACACUGUAGUGUGAGCACAGAAAUCAGCCCAUCACAUUAUGCCCCAAAUGCUGAAGUACGGCUGAAUCUGAUUGCCCUGCAUUUUUAAGUACUGCAAAAUUCUGGGACUUGGGAUCAUCUGUUACUACAGACUUGUCAUAUUCCACUGAAAUAAAACAUAUAGUCUAAUUUGCAAAGUUCUCGUGUGGAAAGAGUCCUAAAAUGUAUAUAACCUCUGUCCCAGCAAUUCCAUUAGGAAUUUAUCCAAUCCAAAAUCUAAAAUGCAGAAGAUCUACAUAUUGAAUGCUUAUGGCAGCAUUCUUUAAAAUUAUGAAAAUUGAAAGCAACCAAAAUCCUCAAAAACAGACUAAUGGCUAAGUAGUAUAACCAUACUAUGAAAUGUGGUAAUUGAAUAUUCAAAUUUGUGUUGUAUAAAAAAUUAAUAAUGGUAUAACAUUUGGCUAUAAAAUAGAAUGAAUUCAAUUGUAUUUUUUAAACCAGUACAUCUGCAUAUUUGUGAACCUAAAAGAUAAGACGGUAAAUAUUUAACUGUAUUUUUCUUUAAUUGUUGGGGCUGUGAAUUAUUUUAAUUUUCUUAAUGCUUUUUAAUCUUCUCUGAAAAUUUUAUAAUAAUCUCUAAUAAUAAUUUAUAGCAAAAAAACCCAAAAUUUUAAAGGGUAUUCUUUUUGUAUUUUUAUCAAGAAUAAAAAUAUAUAUCAAU